CAUCGAUGUUCCCUUAAGUUCCAAGGGCUCUUCAGUCAGUUUGUGGUGAAUGUUGCCUAGCCUAAGACUCAACCUUCAGGGUAGUGGGCUCUUCUCUGGCCCAGGGAAGGUUCGGAAAUGCUGUCCAAGUGCCAAAGCCUGGAACUGAGGACCCUAAGAUCCCACUUGGUGCUCUACCUCACUGUGCCGAAUUGGUACCUAAGCAAGCCCACAGAUCCUCUCUCCAUGUCACAUGGCCACUGCCAACAGAUGUCGGAGGAGUAAAAUUGGCAAUUCAAGACAGUCUUUCCUACCCUCUUCAAUGCCUCUUUCAGCAAUAUAAAGCUAAAACCAGAUACUGAAUCAAGUUUGUCCUUGAGUGAGAAUAGAUGAGAGAAAAUGUGGAGCUCCUGACAUAGUAGCAGAGGAAAAAUGAUCACUACCACAGUGUGCUACUCUGAUGCUUCAAAAAGAUCAAGACAUAAUGCUAAAGCCUGAUCAAAAGGCCCCUAUUACUUGCCUGACGCUAUUCUUGGAGCAACAAGUACUUAGUGCCAGGCAUCUUGAAACAUCAGUGUGCAGUUAUCUAAUCAUAUUGAUAUUCUG
rnacentral:lncRNA from 10 species